rnacentral:misc_RNA from 1 species
AAAAAAGCGAGAAGAUAAUUGCUUAUUGUGAAAGAAACAUCCAUAGAAAGGUAAGAUGUAGCAAGAGCUAGAGUUAUGCACUUGUGUUGGUUAAUUGCUGAAGUAGCUGGACUUUCUCAAGAAUUGAGAUAUUACCCUCAGUUUCAAAUAAUGUGUUUAUGGUUGCAGAAUUUAGUUUUAGGAUGUAACUGAAGAAUUCUAAAAAAGAAAAGAAAAAUUUCCAAAAUUCAAGUUUAAGGUACAUCUCAAAUAAAUGUUUCCACCAUGUAGGAUAUAUAUACUUGCACCAUUACUACAUAAUCCUUUAUAAAAAUAGAAC